GUGGCUUUUAUAAAAGUGAUAAAUGUAUUUAAGUUUUUAUUUAAACACAAUUUGAAAUUAAAUUUCGUAAAACAUCUUUUACCACGACUUAAAUAUGAUUAGUAAUCUGUUAAACCUAAAUGCGGUCAAAUGGCUAUUUAACUUUACUAAACACAUUUAUCUACUGUCAUGGCGUCAGUCGCGGCGACCAGCUGACCGACCGGCUGUCAAGAGAACUUUUCCAUUUCUAGCAUUUUUCCUCAGUGAUGUCUAGUUGUAGUCUGUGAGAGAUUCAGAGGUCAUUGUUCAGAGGUUAUGUUGAGGUUAUCUAAUAAAUAAUGUAUUUGUGGGAUAUUUUGUUUGAUGACGAUGAUGAAGAAUUACUUCUCUUUAUGAAUAGACCUCGCUCAUUACGCUAUAUUGCAGAAAGAACUAACUUAUUUGAGACACUACCGGAUAAAACAUUUGUUAGGAGAUUUCGUUUGACAAAACAAACUGUAUCGCUUCUACUACAAGAAAUUCAACAACAUCUUGAAUUUAUUUCCACCAGAAAUAAUGCAGUUACUCCAAUGAACCAGUUGUUAUGCACACUCCGAUAUUAUGCAACUGGCAGUCAGUUAAUUACUUGUGGAGAUGUGAUAGGUGUGGAAGAACCAACAGCAGCUUGCAGAAUCAUUCAUAGAGUUACUCAUGCAAUAGCAUUAUUGUAUAAAAAAUACAUUAAAUCUCCUGAUACCAUUCAGGAACAACGUUUUUUUGCUCUCUAUAAUGUGCAAGUAUGGUUCCAAUACAUUGCACAAUAAAUCUUGUUCUUCCCUUGUAAAAUUAGGGGCACGAACACGAGAAGAAGUUGCUUGACUAUUCAUUUUACUUUGAAAUCACAACAACAAAUAAAUACAAACACCACCACGCGGUGAAAGCCGAAAUAAGUUUUGUUUUGAAAUAAAUAGUGUUAUUUUGUCUAUGUUUGAAAUUGAUAGAUUAACUCCGUUUUACGCUGAGUCGUUUCGAAUGUUCAAUAAAAAAUAUGAAGUCUCUCAUUAAAAAGAUGUGGAACUGAACGUAAAUAACAAAUCGCAGGAUGCUAAACGCAUUUAACUAAAUAGUAAUCGAAAUACCAUGGUGAAUUAUGAAGCUAAACAUGUUUAGGAUAAAAUUGUUUAGUGCAUUAAACGCAAUUAGCUAAAUGAAUUUAUGUAGUAUUUAAAUAGAAGUUCGUAACAGCCACCCUUAGAUAAGUA